AGCCAGAGGAAACUCUGGUGGA
rnacentral:ncRNA from 2 species